UACGUAGGUGGCAAGCGUUGUCCGGAUUUACUGGGCGUAAAGAGCGCGCAGGCGGUCGAUUUAGUCGUGUGUGAAAGCCCCCGGCUCAACUGGGGAGGGUCACGCGAUACUGAUCGACUCGAAGGCAGGAGAGGGAAGUGGAAUUCCCGGUGUAGUGGUGAAAUGCGUAGAUAUCGGGAGGAACACCAGUGGCGAAGGCGGCCUACUGGGCCAGUACUGACGCUGAGCCGCGAAAGCCAGGGGAGCGAACGGG
rnacentral:rRNA from 1 species